rnacentral:rRNA from 1 species
UACGUAGGGUGCGAGCGUUGUCCGGAAUUACUGGGCGUAAAGAGCUCGUAGGUGGUUUGUCGCGUUGUUCGUGAAAACUCACAGCUUAACUGUGGGCGUGCGGGCGAUACGGGCAGACUGGAGUACUGCAGGGGAGACUGGAAUUCCUGGUGUAGCGGUGGAAUGCGCAGAUAUCAGGAGGAACACCGGUGGCGAAGGCGGGUCUCUGGGCAGUAACUGACGCUGAGGAGCGAAAGCGUGGGGGGCAAACAGG